UGGCAACAACCCGCUCUGCGUCCAAGGAGUUGGAACGGUUCAAGCAACCACAUUGUCUCCAGUCAAAACCUCAGUUAUGAUCAUAAUUAUUAUAAUUCCUUCUAUUCAGAAAAUCAAUCACAGUG
rnacentral:sRNA from 1 species